rnacentral:snoRNA from 1 species
CCCUGUAUUCAAAGGUGAUUGUGUAGUGCGAAUCCCUAGUCAUUGAUACUACAGGAAGAGGAUGCCAAAAAGUUUUUCCCUGUAUUUGGAAGGUUCAUUCUUUCCUGUCCUUGCUAAAUCUUGGUGCUUCUGAACA